rnacentral:rRNA from 1 species
GGCGACGAUCUGUAGCGGGUCUGAGAGGAUGAUCCGCCACACUGGGACUGAGACACGGCCCAGACUCCUACGGGAGGCAGCAGUGGGGAAUAUUGGACAAUGGGCGAAAGCCUGAUCCAGCCAUGCCGCGUGUGUGAAGAAGGCCUUUUGGUUGUAAAGCACUUUAAGCGAGGAGGAGGCUACUUAGAUUAAUACUCUAGGAUAGUGGACGUUACUCGCAGAAUAAGCACCGGCUAACUCUGUGCCAGCAGCCGCGGUAAUACAGAGGGUGCGAGCGUUAAUCGGAUUUACUGGGCGUAAAGCGUGCGUAGGCGGCUUCUUAAGUCGGAUGUGAAAUCCCUGAGCUUAACUUAGGAAUUGCAUUCGAUACUGGGAAGCUAGAGUAUGGGAGAGGAUGGUAGAAUUCCAGGUGUAGCGGUGAAAUGCGUAGAGAUCUGGAGGAAUACCGAUGGCGAAGGCAGCCAUCUGGCCUAAUACUGACGCUGAGGUACGAAAGCAUGGGGAGCAAACAGGAUUAGAUACCCUGGUAGUCCAUGCCGUAAACGAUGUCUACUAGCCGUUGGGGCCUUUGAGGCUUUAGUGGCGCAGCUAACGCGAUAAGUAGACCGCCUGGGGAGUACGGUCGCAAGACUAAAACUCAAAUGAAUUGACGGGGCCCGCACAAGCGGUGGAGCAUGUGGUUUAAUUCGAUGCAACGCGAAGAACCUUACCUGGUCUUGACAUAGUAAGAACUUUUCAGAGAUGGAUUGGUGCCUUCGGGAACUUACAUACAGGUGCUGCAUGGCUGUCGUCAGCUCGUGUUGUGAGAUGUUGGGUUAAGUCCCGCAACGAGCGCAACCCUUUUCCUUAUUUGCCAGCGGGUUAAGCCGGGAACUUUAAGGAUACUGCCAGUGACAAACUGGAGGAAGGCGGGGACGACGUCAAGUCAUCAUGGCCCUUACGACCAGGGCUACACACGUGCUACAAUGGUCGGUACAAAGGGUUGCUACCUAGCGAUAGGAUGCUAAUCUCAAAAAGCCGAUCGUAGUCCGGAUUGGAGUCUGCAACUCGACUCCAUGAGGUCGGAAUCGCUAGUAAUCGCGGAUCAGAAUGCCGCGGUGAAUACGUUCCCGGGCCUUGUACACACCGCCCGUCACACCAUGGGAAUUUGUUGCACCAGAAGUAGGUAGUCUAACCGCAAGGAGGACGCUUACCACGGUGUGGCCGAUGACUGGGGUGAAGUCGUAACAAGGUAGCC